rnacentral:lncRNA from 1 species
GGGCUGCACCCACAGCAUAUGGAAGUUCCAAGGCCAGGGGUCCAAUGGGGGCUGUAGCUGCUGGCCCACACCACAGCCACAGCAACACAGGAUCCAAGCCACAUCUGUGACCUACACCACAGCUCAUGGCCACUAUGGAUCCCCAACCCACUGAGUGAGGCCAGGGAUAGAACCCACAUCCUCAUGGAUACUAGUUGCAUUUGUUUCCACUGAGCCACAAUGGGAACUCCUCCCCAUGACUCGUGGCUCCUGCCAUUAAGGGUCAUGUGUGGUUCCCUCCCUUACGGAAUAGGACAAGGCUGUAUAACGAAUAGGAUAGUGGAAAUGACAUUAUGUGACUCCCAGCUUGGGUCCUAAAGACAGCACAGCUUCCUUCUUGCUGUCUCUGGAGUCCCUGGCUCUGGGGGAAGCUGCUGCCAUGUUGUGAGGUCACUCAAGCAGCCUUUAGCAAGGAGGCUGUUGGCACUAACAUGCAGACAAGCGAGUGAGCUUGUAUGGUCAAGAAGCAUAUCAUGCAGCACCAGGUGCCCACAGUCCCAGCAAAUCUCUGAUGCAGUCUUACAAGUGAUGGGGAGCCAAUAUCACCCAGGCAAGCCACUGCCAGAUUUCUGACCUUCUGAACAUUCAUUGAUUUAAACUGCUAAGGUUUGGGGUAAUUUGUUUUGCAGCCAUGACUAUCUAACACACGUUAUUAGCUUGCACUGUGUCUCAUCACCCAGCCCUAGGACAUAUGGAUUUUUUUUUUCAACGUAUCAUGACACAAUUCUUCCAAAUGGAGGGGUCCUGGAGAUGAAUCUCACCCCAUCAAAUUCUCAUUAAAACCCUUUCUCCCUGACACGGUGGUUUGGUUUCUGUCUGUUUCCCUGGAGGAGAGAGUCAGUCCUGAAGUCCUAGAAACAAGGUGGAGCAGGUAGUGGGUUCUUAAGGCCACUGAGUCAUUCAUUAACCCAUGCUCUCUCUUUCUCUCUUUUAUUUUUUAUUAUUAUUGUUUUUAUUUUUAGGACUACACCCUCGGCACAUGGAAGUUCCCAGACUAGGUGUCCAAUCAGAGCUGCGGCUGCCAGCCUAUGCCACAGCUCACAGCAACACUGGAUCCUUAAUGCACUGAACGAGACCAGGGAUCAAACCUGAGUCCUCAUGGUUACUAGUCAGAUUCAUCACUGCUGAGCCACAGUGGGAACUCCUCUUUCUCUUUUUUUGAACCAUAAUUAUUUUCAAAUAUCUUAAGGAGAACAGUAAAGUUUUGCAUAUUCCUUGAGGCUUUUUAAAAACUAGGAGGAUUGAGAUUUUGUUUAUUAUUUUUGGAGAGAAAUACAAUGUGGGAAGGCUUCUCAUUUGUAGGUGCCUGAGCUCUGCCCCCAGGGCCCCUCCAGGCUCAGUGUCUGUCCUCUCCAUGGUAAAUCACAGGUGACAGUCACAUCUGGGGAGAACAGCCCAUGGGAACACAGAGAUUCACACUGAGAGCAGUAAGGGGAGCUUGGGACAGCCUCCAGAGCAGCAGCGGGUGACAGGGCAAGGGACUUGUCCCCUUCAGCACAGAGGGAGCCCAGAAUCACCCUGAAGAGUGGAAAUGGAUGUUUCCCUUUGGGGCCAUGGAGAUUUGGGACAACUUGAAAUAUCAGUGGGAUAUCAAGCUUCAUCUGGCGCCUUGAUAGAUAGUCUUGGGCUUACAUUUUCCUAAAAUGGUGGGGAAAAAAGAAGAGGCAAAAGGAAAGCAAGGAUCUCAUCUUCCAGGACCUCGGUCUACUCACUGGGGAGUCAAGAACUCCACUUCCUCCAGGGUCCGUGUUUUCUCUACCGGCUGUGGCACUCCCUCACGUUUUUUGCCGUUGUUGUUUGUUUUUUUCUUUCUCUUUUUUUGUCUUUUGUCUUUUUAGGGCCACACACGUGGCACAUGUAAGUUUCCAGGCUAGGGGUUGAAUCGGAGCUACACCUGCCAGCCUCCACCACAGCCGCAGCCACAGCAACUUGGGAUCUGAGCCACAUCUGUGACCUACACCACAGCUCUCGGCAACACUGGAUCUUUAACCUACUGAGCGAGGCCAGGGAUCGGACCCACGUCCUCAUGGAUACUAGUUGGUUUUGUUAACCGCUGAGCCAUGACGGGAACUCCUCCCUCACCGUUCUAAGGCUGAAAUUCCCUGAUGUGUCUUGAGAGAUGGACACAAGGUUCAAAUAGGGCUGGAUGGAGACCGAGACCUCUGAUAACGGCGCUUCCCUGUAGAUAUGGGGUUAGAGUGUUCAUGGGAUGAAAGAGAGGCAGGGCCAAGUUCACAGCCAAAGGCAAUGCCACCCAGAAGUGUCCCCAAGGAGCCUCCACGUCCAGUUCAAGAUGACCACCUUCAUAGAGGGCUACUGAUGUCCUCAUUUCAACAGCUCUUUCUGCAUCCACCCCAAGAAGAGCUCGCUACUUGGUGAAGGUCCCGUGGAUAACCUUACAAGGUCACUCCAGCUGUCGUUUUUUGUGUAUGUUUGUUUGCUUGUUGUUUUUGUUUUCUUUUUAUGGCUAUACCUGUAGCAUAUGGAAGUUCCCAGGCUAGGGGUCACUCGGAGCUGCAGCUGCAGGCCUAUUGCACAGCCACGUGGGAUCUGAGGCGCAUCUGUGACCUAUGCUGCAGCUUGUGGCAAGGCUGGAUCCUUAACCCACUGAGCAAGGCCAGGGAUCAAACCUGAAUCCUCAGGGAGACGACAUCAGAUUCUUAACCUGCUGAGCCACAACAGGAAUGCCUCACUCCAGCCAUCUUAAUGGGGUAGCUGGCCUUCUCAUGUAAUAACCUUGCCUGCACAAAGCUUUGCAUCUUGAAACAAAAAGCACAGACUCCAGCCAAUGAAAUGGGCCUUAGCUGGGGUCCAAGGGCAGGAAGUGGCAGCCAGGAAGGGAGAGUUUCCAGGGCUCGAUUAUAAAAAGGUGGCUGGCUUGUGUCAGUUCCCUGUGUUACCGUAUCCGAUCUUAGCACCUUGAAACUCUUCCAUCACUAAUGAGGAGACACAGAAAGCUUUGAGCAACCUCAGCUUUCCACUGAGCUGCUGAGCCCAUACCGAGGUCGAAGCCUGGAAGUCCACCCACAUCUGCCACUCAUAGGCACAGAUGUUGGAACAGAGUUCAGUCCUGCUCUUUCCCGACCUUAAGAGGCUUAGCGCAUCUCUGAAGCUGGAACAGGAGCUGGGAGGCACAGCUGAUUGGAAACGAGCUCCUCAGAACCACAGCACCCACAGCCGCACUUUGAGUUCUGUACUUCAAAGGGUAGACUGGGGAGUUCCUGUUGUGGCUCAGUGAUUCAAAUCCAAUUAGUAUCCAUGAGGAUGUGGGUUCGAUCCCUAGCCUCGCUCAGUGGGUUAAGGAUCUGGCGUUGCUGGGGCUGUGGUAUAGGCCAGCAGCUAUAAGCUCCGAUUUGACCCCUAGCCUGGGAACUUCCAUCUGCUGCAGGUGUGGCCCCAGAAAGCAAAAAGAAAAAGGGUAGUUUGGGAGCAGGGCCAUAAGUGGAGCUGGGAGGACUGGCCAGCACAAAGGCCUUUGGGAACACCAGGCUUCUGGGUGACACUGUCACAGACAGAGCAAAGCUGGCUGACGAAUUAGCUCCCACCAGCUAUAAGGCUGGCCCCAGAAAGUCCCUGGUCAAUUUCCUCAGGUUGGUAAAAAGAAUCACAGUUAGGCCUCAAGAGACCUCUUGGCUCUUAAGAUGCUGAGUUUGUUCCGCUCCUUCAGGCCAAGUUCACGUGGGCAAUCAAGUCAUGCAGAUCCUUAAAGGGGAAAAGGCACCUGGUUUGGCGUGCAUCUGGUUCCCCUUGCCUCCGAGUUCUGGCCUUCACAGGAAGGUCUGCCCUCAGGAAUCCCGUCAUUCAAUAAACCAGCAUCGACUGAACAACUACUGUAGCCAUCAACGCAGUUAUGGUCACUGAUGAACGCAAGUAGCAGUUAGUGAACAGGAGGAAGGUCUCUUUCUUGUCAGGAAGGGUCUGUGAGGGUCCCAUCCUCUCUGGGCCCCAAACCUCCCAGGGUGGCUCAGGGACCUAGGCUCCCUUUAACGUGUGGGACCACACGUCAACAUGUGGCUUCCUGGUCACCAAGUUGGGAUCAGAGGGAUUAUGAAGAAUUCACGACAUUUGUCGUUGACCCCCUCUCUUGGUGGUGGUUUUUUUUUGGGGGGGGGGUGCCGCACUAGAGUCAUAUGGAAGUUCCCAGGCUCGGGGUGGAAUCGGAGCUACAGCUGCCGGUCUACACCACAGCCACAGCAACACCAGAUGUGAGUCACAUCUGCGACCUACACCACAGCUCAUGGCAAAUGCUGGAUCCUUAACCCACUGAGCGAGGGUGGGGAUGGAACACACAUGCUCAUGGAUACCAGUCCGGCUCAUUACCUGCUGAGCCACAAUGGGAACUCCUCGACCGCCCCCCUUUGGAGUAACACCAGUCAUUACUUUUCACACUUAUUGCCAGAACUCAUCAUGUGAACUUCCAAGUGAACUGCAAGCAGGCUGGGAAAAGUACUGAGCAUGACUGUCUCAGCCCCCACUCCCUCAUGUCCAAAAGCCCACAAGUACUUGGGGGCUCAAGAUAAAGAAAGGAGCCCCCUUCCUUUCCUGGGGAGAUGAAAAAGCCAGGGAAAUAUCUUUGUCAGUAGAUGCUGGACAUACUGAUUUUAUGGAACAUAGUUGGCAGGAUUCCAGCUAUAGUGAACCCCUCCACCCAGUGGGGUUGGUCUGGGAAGAAGAGGAAUAUUUAAUUCUAACCAUGCUUCACUCACAGGGGGCUGGACCUUGUGGGUAAGCCAGCCAAGUCUCUAUAGAAAUAGAGGAGAAGAGGUAUUGUCUUCUAUGCCCUCUUGAAGUCAGGAUUUGGUUGCAACUGACUAUUUUUAUCUUCCCUGAGGUGACCAAAUCUGAAGACUUGUCUAUUGGCCCAGGGGAAGAUGCUGGGGUCACAACAAUAUGGUGGUGCAACUAGAUUAUAUAUAUAGACAUAUAUAUAAUAUAUAUAUGUAUGUAUAAAGUCCUCUGGAAACAAUUAAGUUUAUUUCAUGGUUCCCACUAAGUGGCCAAUUUAAUUUAUUAGACUCUGCCUUCCACUCACGUUGUGUAAGCUAUUCAUUGUCCGUCUGCCUGCCCAUCAAUCCUUCCAAAAAUCUAUCUAUUCUUCCAUCCAUCCAUCCAGUCAUCCAUCCAUCCAUUCAGGCAUUCAUCCAAUCAUCCAUCUAUCCAUCCAUCAUCCAUCCAUCCAAACAUCUAUCCAUUUAAGCACUCAUCAAGUCAUCUAAUCAUCCUCUAUCUGUCCAUCAUCCAUCCGUCCAAACAUAUAUCCAUCCAAACAUCCAUCCAUCCAAGCAUCUAUUCAUCCAUCCAUCUGCUCAUCCAUCCAAAUAUACAUUCAUCUGUUCAAGCACUUAUCCAAGCAUCUAAUCAUCUUCUAUCUAUCCAUCCAUCAUCCAUCCAAACAUCUUAUCAUCCAUCCAUCCAUCCACUCAUCCAUUCAAAUAUACACCCAUCCAUUCAAGCACUCAUUCAAGCAUCAAAUCAUCCUCCAUCCAUCCAUCCAUUUAUCAAAACAAAUACUUGUUGACUGCUGACUCUUGCUGGACAUGGCUCUAGUCAAGGGGUAUAUAGCAGAGGACAACUAAGACUAGAUCCUUACUCUUCUGGAACUUAUAGUCUACUAGACAAUCAACAAGAAAGGAAAUAUUUAGAAAGGACCAUACCAGAGUUCUCUAGGAGCUAUGACGACUAUGAGAUGGAAGGAUAAGAGAAGGAGGGACUUGAAUGGGAGGGGUGUGAGGCUACUCUAAGGUGUUCAGAUAGCCUCCCUGAGGAAGGGAGAUAUGAGCUAAGACCUGAGUCAUGAGGGGGAGUCAAACCAGGGACAACAUGGGAGAAUAGAACUCAAGAAAUGACAGACAAAGAGGGCAAAACUUUGAGGUGGGAAUGGAUCUGUUUUGUUAGAAGAACAAACAGAAGGGAACCAGUGAGGUUGGAGUUAGUGAGCAAGAAGGGCUGCAGCAGGAACUGAGGGUGGAGUACAGGGCAGAUCUGUAUCACACUGGGCUUAUAAGACCAUGGUCCUCAGUCCAGAUUUCACUCUAGGAUUUAUGGGCAUCUACUGGAGGGUUUUAAGUCCAGGAGUGACAUGAUUUGAAUUAUGUUUUUAAAAGGUCGCCCCAUUAAGUUUCAUUUAGCAAACAUUGACUGUCUACUUAGUAGAUUCAUCUAAGAGCCAUGAAAUGCUCUGGAGGCAGGGAGAGCAAAGGAGAGAAAGACAGAAGCUUUUAAAUUUAUAAAACAAACAUUGGCCAUAG